CAGCGAAACUGCGAAUGGCUCAUUAUAUAAGUUAUCGUUUAUUUGAUAGUACCUUACUACUUGGAUAACCGUGGUAAUUCUAGAGCUAAUACAUGCUAAAAAUCCCGACUUCGGAAGGGAUGUAUUUAUUAGAUUAAAAACCAAUGCCCUUUGGGCUCCUUGGUGAUUCAUAAUAACUUUUCGAAUCGCAUGGCCUUGCGCCGGCGAUGGUUCAUUCAAAUUUCUUCCCUAUCAACUUUCGAUGUUUGGGUAUUGGCCAAACAUGGUCGCAACGGGUAACGGAGGGUUAGGGCUCGACCCCGGAGAAGGAGCCUGAGAAACGGCUACUACAUCCAAGGAAGGCAGCAGGCGCGCAAAUUACCCAAUCCCGAUUCGGGGAGGUAGUGACAAUAAAUACUGAUACAGGGCUCUUUUGGGUCUUGUAAUUGGAAUGAGUACAAUUUAAAUCCCUUAACGAGGAACAAUUGGAGGGCAAGUCUGGUGCCAGCAGCCGCGGUAAUUCCAGCUCCAAUAGCGUAUAUUAAAGUUGUUGUGGUUAAAAAGCUCGUAGUUGAACCUUGGGCCUGGCUGGCCGGUCCGCCUCACCGCGUGUACUGGUCCGGCCGGGCCUUUCCCUCUGUGGAACCUCAUGCCCUUCACUGGGUGUGGCGGGGAAACAGGACUUUUACUUUGAAAAAAUUAGAGUGCUCCAGGCAGGCCUAUGCUCGAAUACAUUAGCAUGGAAUAAUAAAAUAGGACGUGUGGUUCUAUUUUGUUGGUUUCUAGGACCGCCGUAAUGAUUAAUAGGGACAGUCGGGGGCAUCAGUAUUCAAUUGUCAGAGGUGAAAUUCUUGGAUUUAUUGAAGACUAACUACUGCGAAAGCAUUUGCCAAGGAUGUUUUCAUUAAUCAGGAACGAAAGUUAGGGGAUCGAAGACGAUCAGAUACCGUCGUAGUCUUAACCAUAAACUAUGCCGACUAGGGAUCGGACGAUGUUAUUUU
rnacentral:rRNA from 1 species